AUACGGAGGGUGCAAGCGUUGUUCGGAAUCACAGGGCGUAAAGGGCGCGCAGGCGGUUUGGUAAGUCAGAUGUGAAAGCCCACGGCUCAACCGUGGAAGUGCAUUUGAAACUGUCAGACUUGAGUACUAGAGGGGAAAGUGGAAUUCCCGGUGUAGAGGUGAAAUUCGUAGAUAUCGGGAGGAAUACCGGUGGCGAAGGCGACUUUCUGGCUAGAUACUGACGCUGAGGCGCGAAAGCGUGGGGAGCAAACAGGAUUAGAAACCCUAGUAGUCC
rnacentral:rRNA from 1 species